rnacentral:rRNA from 1 species
GAUGAACGCUGGCGGCGUGCCUAAUACAUGCAAGUCGAGCGAACGGACGAGAAGCUUGCUUCUCUGAUGUUAGCGGCGGACGGGUGAGUAACACGUGGAUAACCUACCUAUAAGACUGGGAUAACUUCGGGAAACCGGAGCUAAUACCGGAUAAUAUUUUGAACCGCAUGGUUCAAAAGUGAAAGACGGUCUUGCUGUCACUUAUAGAUGGAUCCGCGCUGCAUUAGCUAGUUGGUAAGGUAACGGCUUACCAAGGCAACGAUGCAUAUCCGACCUGAGAGGGUGAUCGGCCACACUGGAACUGAGACACGGUCCAGACUCCUACGGGAGGCAGCAGUAGGGAAUCUUCCGCAAUGGGCGAAAGCCUGACGGAGCAACGCCGCGUGAGUGAAGAAGGUCUUCGGAUCGUAAAACUCUGUUAUUAGGGAAGAACAUAUGUGUAAGUAACUGUGCACAUCUUGACGGUACCUAAUCAGAAAGCCACGGCUAACUACGUG